AACAUGGCGGGCGCGUGUCGCGUUUGACGGGUGCAGUCGUGGUCGCGUGGAGAGAAGAGGUUCGCGCGGGGGCACGGAGCGCCGAAUCGCGUGAGGUGAACGAGUGCGUCGGGACGCGCCGCGCGGCAUUGUCGCAUCGCUCGCGGGAAGGAACGUCCGUCGGCCAUCCUGGAGAUCGAGACUCGGGGAACGCACGCCUACCGAUGUUAAUCUGGUGAUAUGGUGAUUUAGAAAUCUAUGGUUUCUAAUGUGUGAUUCUAUAUUCUAAUUAUAUUCUACACCCUCAGAAAGAUUUCUGAUAACAAGACGAAAAA